UGUGUGUGUGUGUGUGUGUGUGUGUGUGUGUGUGUGUGUGUGUGUGUGUGUGUGUGUGUCAACCUAGUGAAAAUGAAUGUGAAUGAAACUCAGAGCAGCUGAAAAUAACCUAUUCCAUAAUUCCCCUGUCCCGUAGUGCACUUUCUGACCUGGGGUUUACAGUGCCUUAUAUAAGACAUGAUCAACCCACGCACAGGUCACUGCCCUUGUGAGUGUAUUAGUGUAAUUGAUUGCUAUCAUGUUCUGCCGGUGUGCUGAAGAGUGUGGGAAAGCCAGGGAGAUAUAUGGGCAGUAUAUGAGUGGAGUGGCAGUAUGUGAUUGGCAGUGUAUGAGUGGACUGGCAGUAUAUGAUUGGCAGUAUGUGAUUGGAGUGGCAGUAUAUGAUUGGCAGUGUAUGAGUGGACUGGCAGUAUAUGAUUGGCAGUAUAUGAUUGGCAGUAUGCGAAUGGCAGUUUAUGAUUGGCAGUAUAUGAUUGGCAGUAUGUGAUUGGAGUGGCAGUAUAUGAUUGGCAGUGUAUGAGUGGAGUGGCAGUAUAUGAUUGGCAGUAUAUGAUUGGCAGUAUAUGAGUGGAGUGGCAGUAUAUGAUUGGCAGUAUAUGAUUGGCAGUAUGCGAAUGGCAGUUUAUGAUUGGCAGUAUAUGAUUGGCAGUAUGCGAAUGGCAGUUUAUGAUUGGCAGUAUUUGAUUGACAGUAUAUGAGUGGAUUGGCAGUAUAUGAUUGACAGUAUAUGAGUGGAUUGGCAGUAUAUGAUUGGCAGUAUAUGAGUGGAUUGGCAGUAUAUGAUUGGCAGUAUAUGAGUGGAGUGGCAGUAUAUGAUUGGCAGUAUAUGAUUGGCAGUAUGCAAGUGGCAGUAUAUGAGUGACAGUAUAUGAUUGGCAGUAUGCAAGUGGCACUAUAUGAUUGGCAGUAUGUGAGUGACAGUAUGUGAGUUGCAGUAUGCAGGAGACGUUCUGGCCACGGCUCUGACCGCUAAAGGACCCCACAGGGAGAGCAGCACCUGGUCCAACUGCCUGUAAUGCAUUCAGUCUAUCACAACCCACUUACAGCACAAAAGGAAGAUGGCGCAGUAAGACUUGCAGGCUGUGGAUGCUCGCUGAAUAACAUUCACUGCCAAAGCCACCUAUGAUAUCCUCCCGGCACCUCAGUAGUCGGUGGGUGGGGGUGGGGGGGACUGUGAAAUGCGAAAUGCAGUCAGUUUGUCACGACUCACGACUCACUAAAAGGCCGUGUGGAGAGGAAGGUGAGGUCGGCCACUCACUGAGUGAUGCUCAGCUAAAGCACUUCUGUCCAAUUCACUGGCCACUGAGUCUGUGGAAAGUUUAAAAAAGGGUAAAAGGCUCUCAAUUGAGGCUGCUGCCUUUGCGGCACAAAAGGCUCUUCUGGACUGAAAAUGGUUCCUCUCGUUUGCUCCUUGCCUGCAGCUCAGGGCCAGUGCUACUGUCAUUAGAGCUCCAAAACCUUUUAUGGGUUUGAUAAUUGAAACAAGC
rnacentral:lncRNA from 1 species